CAGUCGCCGCGGGAAUACGGAGGGUGCAAGCGUUGUCCGGAUUUAUUGGGUUUAAAGGGUGCGUAGGCGGCUAUUUAAGUCAGCGGUGAAAGACUCCGGCUCAACCGGAGCAGUGCCAUUGAUACUGGAUAGCUUGAGUGUUGGAGGGGUACAUGGAAUUGAUGGUGUAGCGGUGAAAUGCAUAGAUACCAUCAGGAACACCGAUAGCGAAGGCAUUGUACUGGCCAACAACUGACGCUGAGGCACGAAAGCAUGGGGAGCGAACAGGAUUAGAUACCCCCGUAGUCCCUGUCUCUUAUAC
rnacentral:rRNA from 1 species